rnacentral:misc_RNA from 1 species
AGCAAGCAUCUCCUCAGGAGUGGAGAACUGGCGGCGACCAGUUGGCUUUCCCUUGAACUUUCCUCUUCCCAUAGCUUUCGCCUUCUCACUGAAUCAAUCAAAGUUAACAGAAGGAGGAAAGCCAAUUGAAGAUGGAAAAUCGAAGGGUUUGCUAGUUUUCGGAAUUUCUUCUCUGCGCAAGAAAAAAGAAAAGAAAAUAGGUAUUCUAAAAAGAAG